CAACCAAUCAAAACAAAGUUAGAAUUGUUGAAACCCUAGUUGGAUGUCGCAGGCCUGUCUGUCAGUACCCUUUGAAAAUACUUAUAUUGAGAACACAAAAUACAUCAUCCAAUCCUAAACGCCAACCGCCAUCUUCCUCAAAAUAGGUAUAACUUUUGUUUUUCCAAAUCUCACACAUCAUGUGGUACUAUUAUUCUCUUCCAUCUAUGGAAUCAGAUCUUGCUCAGACAGGUUUUAAGUUUAAGCAUGGAUGGUGUGAUUGAACAUGAAAAUCACAAAGAGAUCUGAUGAAAUGAAACCAGUUGUUAUUUGCCGGCGCAACAUUAUCAAGAUUCACAUGUUUUUUAGGGGUUUAAUUUGUUUAGACCUUUGAUAUAUUUGAGAAUCCUGAUGAUGCUGCAUCUGCAAUUAAUGACUAAUAAUACCACCAAGAUCUUGAUAUAAGGAUUUCCUAUACACAGUGAUACUAUGCUGGCAGCUUGGAGAAAGAAGAAAAGAAAAAAAAAAAAAAAAGGUUAAAUCAAUUAUGUUAAACUUAAUUUGUUUUCAUAAAUAUGAAUGUUUGGAUUUAGGUGAAUUCGACAAAAUACAACGUGAUUUUGGUAACAAAAAAAAAUCUACCCUUUAGAUCACAACAAAAUCAUAGUGUUAUCAUUUUGUCAAAUUCACUAUAAAUCCAAACAUUCCACUAUAUAUGGAGAGUGGAAUUUGCAAGUUGCAACCUUUUAAACCGUGGUUGCGGUAAUGAUCAUGAUUUUUUCAUGAUCAUUCAUAUUGUGGAGAGUUUAUUUGCUUUUAUUUUAAAAAAACUCUUUUGUGAUAAUUUGCAUAUACAUAUACAUUUGCGAUCUGAUUGUGUGGUUGCCAGAGAAAACUCGGCAAAUAAAACAUGAGUAGAGUUUUGACGGAGAGAUAAAUCUUCUAGAACUGCAACAACCACUUGGAGAGAUGAAUAAUAUCUGGAGAUUAAUAAUCUAUCUGGAAAUGAACUGUAAUUCCUGACCUUAUGGCAUUUGUAUGUACUGCAGGACACACACCCUAGUGUGAAUCUAAUCAGGUAUGAGUAUGAUUGUACCAUGGUGGAACUUUUUUGUACUAUAAUAAAUCAUUGAAAAUGAUAUGCUUUU